rnacentral:misc_RNA from 1 species
UCCGGUUUGUCACCGGCAGUCUCGCAUGAGUCCCCAACUAAAUGCUGGCAACAUGCGACGGGGGUUGCGCUCGUUGCGGGACUUAACCCAACAUCUCACGACACGAGCUGACGACAGCCACGCACCACCUGUACACCGACCACAAGGGGGCGACCAUCUCUGGCCGUUUCCGGUGUAUGUCAAGCCUUGGUAAGGUUCUUCGCGUUGCGUCGAAUUAAACCACAUGCUCCACCGCUUGUGCGGACCCCCGCCAAUUCCUUUGAGUUUCAAUCUUGCGAUCGUACUUCCCAGGCGGGGCACUUAAUGCGUUAGCUACGGCACGGAGCCCGUCGAUCGAGCCCCACACCUAGUGCCCAACGUUUACGGCGUGGACUAC